rnacentral:rRNA from 1 species
AACGUCUGACACAGGUGCUGCAUGGCUGUCGUCAGCUCGUGUCGUGAGAUGUUGGGUUAAGUCCGUAACGAGCGCAACCCUUGUCUUUAGUUGCCAGCAGUUCGGCUGGGCGACUCUAAAGGGACUGCCGGUGUUAAACCGGAGGAAGGUGGGGAUGACGUCAAGUCCUCAUGGCCUUUAUGACCAGGGCUACACACGUACUACAAUGGCCGAUACAAAGGGCAGCGACACUGCGAGGUGAAGCCAAUCCCGUAAAAUCGGUCUCAGUCCGGAUUGGAGUCUGCAACUCGACUCCAUGAAGUUGGAAUCGCUAGUAAUCGUGAAUCAGAAUGUCACGGUGAAUACGUUCCCGGGCCUU